rnacentral:rRNA from 1 species
AUUGAACGCUGGCGGCAUGCUUUACACAUGCAAGUCGAACGGUAACAGGCCGCAAGGUGCUGACGAGUGGCGAACGGGUGAGUAAUGCAUCGGAACGUGCCCAGUCGUGGGGGAUAACGCAGCGAAAGCUGCGCUAAUACCGCAUACGAUCUAUGGAUGAAAGCGGGGGACCGUAAGGCCUCGCGCGAUUGGAGCGGCCGAUGUCAGAUUAGGUAGUUGGUGGGGUAAAGGCUCACCAAGCCAACGAUCUGUAGCUGGUCUGAGAGGACGACCAGCCACGCUGGGACUGAGACACGGCCCAGACUCCUACGGGAGGCAGCAGUGGGGAAUUUUGGACAGUGGGCGCAAGCCUGAUCCAGCAAUGCCGCGUGCAGGAUGAAGGCCUUCGGGUUGUAAACUGCUUUUGUACGGAGCGAAAAGGCUUCCACUAAUACUGGGGGCUCAUGACGGUACCGUAAGAAUAAGCACCGGCUAACUACGUGCCAGCCGCCGCCGUAAUAC